GAGCUCUGACCAUAAACAAAGAGUGGUAGAGCAUCUGCUUUGCAUGCAGAAGGUUCCGGGUUCAAUCUCUGGCAUCUCCA